AUUUAAAAAAAUACUUUUUAAGACUUGACUGACCACCGAUCAACUUAUCGUGCUUAACUAUUAAUUGUAUCAAGUACUUUUACUUUUAUUUGUAUAAUUAUAAUGUAUAGCUAAGUGAUUGUGAACUAUUUUUUCUUUUAUUAAUUUAACUCUGUUGGUGUAGACUUAAUUUAGCAAUUGUACAAACCUCAGUGGUUUUUAUUGCUUUGAAACCGCAAUGUAAAAUUUGUUUUUUUAUUAAUAAAUAUAUAUAUAAAAAAAAAAAAAGUUAACACUAUUUUUCGUCAACUGAAAUCGCAAUCGUCAGCCGCAGCAAUUGAAUGGCGUAAGUGGCAGUAACGCAAAAAAAUCAUUCUGGUUUGUCACAGAAUAUUAACACUACUAAAUCACAAAUAGAUUAGAGUUGCAGCAAUACAACAUUUUUCCUCAUGUCCCAAACUCAUUGAAGAUCGAUUUCGAUGAAUGUCAUUAUAGAAAAUUAUAAAGAACGAUAACUCACAGUUUGCUAUUGAUCGCAGUUGGAAGAAUAGGGCCAGACUAUAGGCAAUAUCAUCCGGAUUUUAAACAAAUUUAAAAAUUUGGUCUAUAAAAGAACACAGAGCUACAAAUAUUGCAAUAAAAUAUUAUGUGACGCCAAUCCAAGUCAUUUUUCUUGUUGGCUGAAUGCGCAUGCGGCAGUCCCUUAACAAGAACCAGACGACAAGACGACGAUAGAUGAAAUAUCAACUAUGUGUCUAUUUUAAUAAUUAAAUUGCAAUUAUUGAGUUAUUUGACUUGUGUCUUUUGAGUUUUGACAAAGACUCCUAUUGUUUUUGUUACUAUUUACGAUUACAUAGAAAAUUAAAAAUUUAAAUUAUUUUGAAUCUGAAACUGUGUGAACUGUGUUCUAAACUAUCUAAGACAAAAAUUUGAUAAAUAAACAACCAUAAUAUUCACAGAGUCAAUUAAACAUUCAGUUCUACUCGAAAAAAUAAUAUAAUGGCAAAGGUUAAGAAACGAGUUCAAAAGCAAAAUGCGCGAGGUCAACUAAGAGCAAACUUUCUGAAAACUGUAAUUGCGCUAAAAGGAAAACAGUGCAAUGUUCUCACAUGUGAGGAUUCAAAAUUACAGGGAACAUUUGAAGCUUUGAAACCAAGGGGUACUAGAGUUGUGCUGAGUGAUGUAAUAACUCCUGCUAAUCAGAUAAUGUCAGCAGCGAUAGUAAGAGCUUGUGAUAUAGUGGAAAUCACAUUUGAUUUUAAAUGAUAGACAGGAAGUUGAUAUUAAAAUUUGUAAAUAUUGCAACAA